UCUGUCUCUCAAAGGCCUUAUGAGUCACUGUGGUACCAGUAAGAUUACCAGUGGUGAGUCAUCAGCCAUCCCUGAGCAAGGGGCAGCCUUGGGGCUCACCGACUGCUGCCCUCCCUGUACCUCCUCAGUUAUGUGACGAGCGCAGCUUUGGUUUGUUUGUUUGUGAGUGUGCCAGUGUGCGUUUGUGCACGAGUGUCUGUGUGUGUGCAGGGACAUACUGUGUACGUGUGUGGAGGGCAGAGGUCAACCUUCAGUAUCAUUCCUCAGGAGUCAUCCACUUUGGCUUUUUAAAACGGGGUCUCUCAUGGGCCUAGAGCCCGGCGACUUGGCUAGCCUGACUGGCCAGAAAAUUCCGUGUGGGCUUUAGGGGACCCUUCCAGGUAGUAUCCCACCGUGCACAUCCGGUGCUGGUGUCUUCUGUAAGCUCCUGCAGUGAGAAGCAGGGUCCUAAGUGUGGGCAGUCAGUCGGUCUUGGACUGAGCAAAAUGGAGAGUGAGCUGGGUGCCAGUUUCGUCUCUCUCUGCUUCCUGAUAGUGGAUGCGAUGGGACCGGCUGCCUCAUGCUCCUGCCACUGUGACUUCCUACCGGGACAGAUGCACCCUCUUACUGCGAACCUCAAAGAGCCUCGCCUUCCUUAAAGCAGGAGACGUAACUGAUACAGUGUAGCAGUAUCCUAUUGCCCUGUGAGUGGAAAAUGAUGUCUGAGAGUGUGACCAAGGCCGAGGGAUCCCGAGGCUCUUCCUGUAAAGACCGAUGGCUGGGUCGGCUCACUGGGUCUCCCCCACUGACCUGACUCGCAUGCCUUGGAACAUCUCCGUGCUGGUGUGAAAGGGCAGCACGGUGGUGGCGCCGACGCCGGGACAGUCCAGCAGCCCCAAGGUCAGGCUCUCCAUGAAGGCGAAGGCCGAUGCUUUCGAUGUGCAGUAGUCGAUGGCUCCAGGGAUGGCGGACAGUGCAAGCACGGAAUUGAGGCACACGAUAUGGCCGUUCUGCAGCUCCAGCAUGCGCGGCAAGAAGGCCUUGGUGGUCUGAGGGUGGGUAACUGAGGUCAGCGUGGAGCCGUGCAGCUUCUGCCAAGCCCUGCACCCCUGCCUGCACUGGGGAGAACAGCCCACUCUCGAUGCAUAUCUACCCUAGUGUCUAAGCCUUCCAGUGUGGAGGGGCUGAGGCCUCCCUGCUACCGAGCACUAUGCUAGCCAGUGAGAAGAUCCUGUGUGUCCCCUUUGUCUAGCCACUUUGCCUUGGAACACCCCUGCUAGUGUGAGUCCUGGUCCCAGUGUCCCUCUCUUUUCCCCUCACCCCACCCAGGCUUCCUGUCACACCUAUGGCUGGCUCUGGGCCAGGAAAGCCCUUACCCAGAAUUGGCCCAGGGUAUUGACGUGCUGGGACUUGAGGAGGGCAUCAUCAUCACUGUCCAUCAAGCUCUUUCCAUGGACCACAGCAGCAUUGUUCACCAGGAUGGUGAUGUCACCCACCUGCGGGCAAGAGGGGGCUGUGGAGCCGUGAGGGCAGCCAGUCCCUGUGGGGCUGUACCUGUAGGGGCACAGACCAGGCUCCGCAACCACCAGCUACAUGGCCUUUUUGAGCAUCAGUCUUGUUUAUAAAUGGCGCUGGUGCCACACCAGCUGUGUCUGAGGAUUAGAAAUAAUUUAUGGCACAUACUAUACCCAGAACGUAGCAUAUUUAUAAUAAAUGAGGUUAUGGGCACAUUAAAAUGGUAAAUGUUACCAUGCGUGGGAUAUGUCACAGGGUGAAUUCUUUUCUCUCUUGGUGCUCACUGAUUUACCCAGCCCAAAUGUCUUGGAUUAGGGAAAGGGUUUUCCCAGAAGGCAAUGGGACAUUUGUCUUAGAGAGAAACUCAUAGGGUCUAAAUGGCUAAGGGACCAUAGAGAUCUACUCUUAUUGUGUUAUCAACCCUAGUCCCCGCCUAUGUAACUUGGACAAGCUUCAUGGAGAGUCCCCAAAGGUGUCCUGUACAAAGCCAGUCUGCCAUAACAACACUCCCUCCCAGGCCACAUGAAUUCAGUAUGCUGGGGCCAGACAUGCCCAGGCUACUGACCUUUUCGCGGACAGCUUUGGCCAUCUGGUAUACCUCUUCCCGGUUGCCCACAUCACAGAUGAAGUAGUGGCACUCUGUGCCCAUCUGCCGAAUCUCCUCUGUCGUCUCUUUCAGGCAUUUCUCAGUCCGGCCCCAGAGAACAAUCUGGAAGGAAAGAAAACCAGCGUGGAAUAGGUGGUUCUGAAACAGGCUUAUCGAUAUAAUGACUGCUACCAAGAAUUUUAGUAGUCUUUAAAAUGCUGGCUUCCUUGAUUCCAUCCCAAAAUAAAGUCCCCAAAACAAA